GGAAAACCCCAAAGGUCACGCACGUUUUCAGGUCGGUCGCCAUUUUGAAAUUUGUGAAAACAAUAGGAUACACAAUAUCGUCAAAAAUCAAUAUAACUGUUGAUUUAAAAGCACGGAAACGAUUAAAAAUGAAAUGACUGUUUAAUCAUAGCAUGUGAUGAGACUGAUCAUCGAUAAGUGACCUGAUGGUCGACCGGACAAUAAACUAUCAAGUGCUGUUUUCACAGUGGAGGAGAUGAUUGCAUGUCAGGGCUUUGGGCUGGGUAAAUCAAACCCUGGCGAUUAAACACUGACUACCCUAAAACCCGAUGAAAGCGGAAGACCUGAAAGACUAUGUGACAAUGUGGUGUAAAAAGAAAUGUGGUGCAGCCAACUGAUGCUAGUCGGAAUUUGGCAAUAACAGAAAAAAUUGGAUAUAAUUAUGCCAAUAAGUUUGCCAAAAAAGGAACAAACAUUCAUUGAAAAUGACUUCUGUGUAUACUUCUCUAGUGUUAAAUGGCAGUUGCAGUUAAUGGAAUAAUUCUUAUUUUGAAUUUUAUAUAUAUUUAGCAGAUUAGAAAGAUUCAAAGGUAUUUCUAUCAUUCGUUUUCUAAAUUGUCAUGUAUAAAUCUACUUUUUCAUGUUAUUAUUUUGAAUUCUGUGAAUUAAAUAAUUUACGAAGAAUUCUAUGCUAUGCAUCAUCUUUUUAUAUUUUGAGUUGAAUACUUAAAGUGGCUCAUAUAAUUGUAGAAUUUAAAUUUCACUUUUUUACUACUGUGAAAUAACCUAUUAACAGUAUACAAUUAGAAUAGUAUUAAGAGUAUACAAUUGGUAUAGUAUUUGCAGUAUGCAAUUGGUAUACUAUUAACAGUAUAUAAUUAGUAUACUAUUAACGGUAUAUAUUUAGUAUACUAUUG